CCCCUCUCAGGGUGGCACCUGGAGAGUUUCCAAUACUCUACCAGUCUCGACUACAGGAGGGAGAGUCAAGCGGAGGCCUGUCCAUUCCAUUCCUAGCUUGGCCAGUGGCCGGUGAGUGGAAGACAGUCUGCUUCAAGU